rnacentral:lncRNA from 1 species
UUGUUGUUGUUGUUGUUGCUAUUUGUUGGGCCGCUCCCGCGGCAUAUGGAGGUUCCCAAGCUAGGGGAUGAAUCGGAGCUGUACCCCCCGGCCAACACCAGAGCCACAGCAACGCAGGAUCCGAGCCGUGUCUGCAACCUACACCACAGCUCACGGCAACACCGGAUCGUUAACCCACUAAGCAAGGGCAGGGACCGAACCCGCAACCUCAUGGUUCCUAGUCGGAUUCGUUAACCACUGCGCCACGACGGGAACUCCAGCUUUGACAUUUCUGACACAAGUAAUACUAUCCUGGAGGCAUAUUGGGUGCUUACAUUAAUUAUGUAAUAACAUUUUUAUUCUUGUUAGGGAAAUCCAGUAACAGAAAUAUUAUUCUGUUUAUUCUCAUAAUUUCUUUGGCAGUGAAAAAAAAAUCAAGAAAAGAAACGUUUCUUGUUUGAUCUCCCCAGAUAGGUCUGUGAAAAUCCCAGUAGGAAUGUAAGCCGAGCAAUUGCUUCCCAGAUUGGCUCCAGAAUCAAGACCUGGUUGGGUGGGCUUGUUAUUAGAGUAACCAGAAACAGAAACCACAAAGCACCACAAUCACAGCCAGAGUUUAUGAAGCAUCUAAUAGCAUUCGAUAUUUUAUUAAACAGUCUGCUAAAUACUUUGUGAUUAUUAUUUCAUGCAGUUCCCCCAAACCUAUGAGUUAGGUAUUCUAUUCCCAUUUUACUGAUGAGGAAAUAGAGGCUCAGAAGCUGUAUACGACUUGUGCAAGAGAAUAGCAAGUAGCAGAGUUGGGAUUUGAACUUGCAUCUGUCUGACUCCAAAUCCCAUGACUUACCCUUCAAACUCAGUGAAAAUAGACUUGUUUUGUGAAUAUUAACUGGUUUGGGGGGUCUCAUGUUCAUUUCUUCUGGCAAUACCACUCCCUUCUUUGGGGAGAAAUUCCCUUCUUCUCCCCACUGUGCUCUAUCAUGAAGAAGAAAUGGUUGCUGUCAUCUCUCAACAUGACAAUACCUCCUUACCCAUAAUGUUGGGGCAAGGGAAAGAUAUCUGCCCAAGCUGAGCCAACAAUACUUGAUUUCUCAGGUCUUAACCCGAGUUGGUCCAAAUAGAAUUCUCCCCCAAGAGUCAAGAAAUUAAACCUAUGAGGGAGGAGGCUUUCCCUGUUUCCUGUUAGGUACUGUAAGAAUGUAAGCCUGAAGCCAUGUAUGUCCUUCACCUCCUGGAAGAAGCCUGUGUGCAUGAGAGAAAGAGACUGACAUGGAGAGACAGGGAGGAGGAGCCAGCCCCAUUGCUUAUAAACCCUACUCCAUUUCUCCCUUGCUCCUUCUGACCUUCCCAUGGUUAGAGGAACCAACACCUUCCCCAUUUUGCCUAGGCAAGUUCGGGUUGGCUCUCUGUCACUUGUAGAGGAGCCAUAAGUGAUUCAGCCCACCCCAGGAAGGGCUGAAGCUCAAAAAUCAAUAAAAUUAAGGCCUGUUAGCAUAAUGAAGAAGCAAAUGAAGUGCUGGAAGCAAGAGACAAAGCCAAGAGGUGGCAAGUCAGACAGUACCAAGAAUGGAUUGGGGGUAAGAGACAAUGGAAUUAAAGACCAUUUAUCCAGGAUGGGCUCUGUGAGACUCCAAACUUUUCUUUUUAAAGAUCAUUAGCAAAAAAUGAGGGUCAGUAGUUCAGCCUAGUUAAAAGACAUCAAUGGAGUAAGAGCAAUAAUCAGAAUCUCGUAAGAUAAAAUUAUUCCUUUUAAGAAUUAAAAACAAAUAAAGCCAUCCCCAUUGUAAAAGAAUGUAUGUUCAAUUUAAUAAUCAUUACAAGGAGUUCCCAUCAUGGCACAGUGGUUAACGAAUCCGACUAGGAACCAUGAGGUUGCGGGUUUGAUCGCUGCUCAGUGGGUUAACGAUCCGGCGUUGCCGUGAGCUGUGGUGUAGGUCGCAGACGCGGCUCGGAUUCUGCGUUGCUGUGGCUCUGGCAUAGGCUGGCAGCUACAGCUCCGAUUAGACCCCUAGCCUGGGAAACUCCAUAUGCCACNAAAAAAAAAAUUACAAACUAAAUAAAUCACAUGCUAGACCCAACGAAGGAAUCAAAAGGAAAUCAAAGACAUAUGUAAUAUAUCAUAUUGGCCAAGAAACUAGAGCUAUAUAGAAUUUACUCAUGGAAGAAAAGGAACCUUGUCUCUUGGUAGACUUAAUUUUACCAGGAUGAUGUGUUGAGGUUUAGAUUAGGUAAGAAUCAGUCAUUGACAAUGGAUCAGAGAGGAAUAUCCACCACUAAUAAGGUGGGUGCAAAAAAACAAGCUUUUUCAUUUCAAAAAUAUAAUCAUGUGAGCUUAGUUUCCUAACUGGGUUUACCUAGGGAUCAGUGUCACGGAGCAAGCUCUAAAAUGUAAGUAAUUCAUUGGUUCCCCUAGUGAUUUUCAAAGCUACCAAGGACUUUAGUGGCCUGACCUCUGGGGAAAAAGGGGUGAAGGCUUGGAUUGAAGCUUUAUUUAGCAAAUCCUUUCCAUUCAAAACCCAUAAGCUUCUUGUCCCUGUCAGCAAGUGUCCAGAAGAUGCCUUGUCAACAGAUUCCCUUCAAGGGGAGCAUUGCUGGGGCUGUCAGAAGUGGAGGGAGACUUGGGAGCUUCAGCUACAGUCUGGACUGUCACGUCAAUUGAAAACUGCUUUGAUUUUCCUGCUGGAAGUAAAUCACAUGCCUCUGACUUACUCUCUGUUUUGUGAUGUGCCUGUAUCUGUAUGUGGUGUAUGGGCUUUGUACAUGGGCGUGAACAUAUAUAAGUGUGUUUAUCAAUUGAAACUGGGCAGUGUUUUCACAGAGCGCAAAGUUCAGUAACAAUUGUCGGGUCUCCGAUUGCUUCUUGUGGGUAUCGUGAUGAUUUGUACACAAGAAGAGCAGGAUCCAGUUCAGCUCAUUGCAGAAUCUGCCACCAGUACAGCAUCAAGCAGUAUGAACAAAACUUUGAGGGCUGCUAAUUUAAGUCGAUCACUGUGUGCCCAAAGUAGAAUGUUAGUCAGUCAAUGUUUUUUGUGGAAGGCUUUAAAAUUAGGACAUGAUUUAGGAUUUACACACGCAAAAGAGAUGCUUACUUCAACUGCUCUUUAAUGUCUCUUUAAGAAAAUUAUUGUUUCUUCAUUUAGUCACUUCAUUGGAAAUAGGCCACGGUGAAAUGUUUCUACCAUAAAAAGGACAAAUUACUGUAAGUUCUCUAAGUCUUAUCACUUAUACAAUUGACAAUUAAGCCAAAUUAUUACACCCAUAAAAUAGAAUAAGAGAAUGUUCUUGCUGACUAAAUCAUUUCAGUUUCAGGGUUGCUUGGUAAAUAGUGAUAGGAAUAUAAAUUCUAUGAAGUGAGAAACUUUACACUCCUAAUUUGGAUUUGAGAUGAGAAGCAUAUUUGCUUUGUGAUCCAAAGUAAUACACUGGUUGUUAAUUUCAAUACGGAAUUAGGGGGUUAUAAUUUGGUGUGUUAAUAUCAUGGGUGGUAAACUUUGCCCUAGCUCUAGCUCUGAUCCCUAAAAACCCUGGGUUUAUUUGCGUUCCCAUUUUCAGACCAUGCCUUUUCCCGUCCCUUUGAAGCAGCAUUGUUGAUACAUUCUAUCAGUAGCUUCAACUGUACCUCUUAGGAAUAUCCUCUGACCAAAGCUGGAAAGAAUGUUAGUAAUUGCAUUUAUUCCUCCCAGCAAGGUGAAGUCUAGAAUCAUUUGUGUUUGCAGCGUGGUGCCAGGGUGCUGAGGGUGAGUUCUGGAUGCCUGAGUGCCUGCCACCAGUUAAUUCCCAUCCACAUUCCUGAUCUCCCCUUAGUUCUCCUCCAUGCUUCUUCACAGGACCUGCUAAUCGGGUGCUCUGGCACCAUUUCUGGUUUUGCCAAGCAGUCUCUCUGGUAUCCAUCUUCAACAAGCAAUCUUACUUCACUGGACGUACUGCCACAGAGGCCAGGAGUACCAAUGUAAAACAGGAAUGGAGGAUUCCUCAUUGUAUCCUGUCUGAGUUUGUUCAAGAGAAUUGAGACCUUGCAAGUGUGGAUAGUAUAAUCGAUCUUUAAUAAUGAGAAAAAGCCUUUCACAAAAAUGGUAAGAGAUAUAGGAGUAUCAAUCUGGAUGGCUGAAGCUAGAGAAUCAAGAAACAUUCACAAUUUCAGACCGAAAAGGAAUAAUGAAAGGAGCAUACCAUUUUUGGGGGUUAUUUUCAAACCGCUGUGACUGAUAGGUGAGAGCUUGUAAAAAGUCUGGAAAUCUACCACAAGGAAUUAUAAUGACUUUCCAAAAAUUCAUUUGCUGCACUUUACCUUCCAACUCUCAAGGAAGUUGUUCUCGUUGGAAAACUCUAAUCCAGAACCAUGUAGGGAAAGGAAUUUUAGGAAGCACACUUUCCAGGCACAAAAGGGGAUUUUGAAGGUACUACAAAAUUUGUAACUAAGUUACACUCGCCCCUUUCAAAUCCUGUAGUGUAAAUGCUGAAGUAGACAGGUAAUCAUUGUUAAAAUAUCUAAUGUUAGAUAAUUCAACAAAGAGGAGAAAAGAAUAACUCAUUCGUAUAUGUAAAUAUAAACCAAUCAAAGCAGUAAGGAAAAUGAGUAUAAUCACUACAGAUACUGUUUUUCUACAAGUGAUGAUUUGGCCAUGAUUGGUAUUUAUAUUUUUCUUAUUCCACUAAAAUUUCCUCAAGUCUCUUUGUCUUCAGUAAGUGGUCCAGUUGGUUGUGGUUCUUUGUCUAGUGGGGAUACUCCAAUCCUCUUGAAGGAACUCUGUCAUUAGCAGUCUUGUCUGUAUUGUGUUUCCAUAGUUUCCCAUUAUCUUUAGCCAGAGGACCUAAGAGUAUUAAGACCCACCCUGUAGAAUAUUCUGGAUUAUAGUCAUGUCCUCUUUACUUCCUUUUUUUGUCUUUUUCUGCCAUUUCUUGGGCCGCUCCCACGGCAUAUGGAGUUUCCCAGGCUAGGGGUCGAAUUGGAGCUGUAGCCACCAGCCUACGCUAGAGCCACAGCAACGAUGGAUCCAAGCUGUGUCUGCAACCUAUACCACAGCUCACAGCAACGCUGGAUCCUUAACCCACUGAGCCAUGCCAGGGACCGAACCCUCAACCUCAUGGUUCGUAGUUGGAUUUGUUAACCACUGAGCCAUGACGAGCCCAUUUUUUCAUCAGAACUAUUGUGUGUGCCCUGAUUCUAGGAAUUGAGAUCUUAAAGCAGCAGGCCCAAGCUGUCAUAAUGGGAAUAGAAAAUUUUGCUAGUGGAUUGUUAGGGGUAAUAAUGAGAGAAUCCAGUUCCAUUUCCACCAUGUAUAUCCUAAAUCCAUACAUCCUGGCUAUGGGUGAAUCAGCAUAUUCUGAUCGCUGAUUCAAAGCCUAUACAGUAUCCUGAGGACAUUUCCCCAGCCUGGCAGUUUGCCAAGCCCCUAAAGCCCUCCAUCUAUGACCUACAGAGGGUUAUAUUGUGUCUCUGAUCAUUAAAAGUCUCCUCUGUUGUGGUAGCCUUUUCAGGAACACUUACACAGGACACAAAAAUCCUCAUGUUUUGUGCCAAUUUGGAGAAUUACAUCACUAAUUUUAUCUCUUCUCCAGAUUUCCUUGUCCACCAUUUCCCAAUUUUGUGUCUUCUACCUCCAUGAGCAUAUAGCUAAACUGUCCGUCACUGUGCACGAAACAGUAUAGAUCCAUAUUUCUGCCUACAUUUCCUUCCAAGAAAAAUGAACAAAAAAAAUGAGCAAAAAAUGAACAGGGUGCAUUGCUCAAAGUUCUUUGUGCUGGGGAGGAUUUCUCUUCUUUUCCAUUUUCUUAGGAUCACAUUGAGUGGUGCCACGGUGUUGUAGCUGCCCACUUUCAUUUGUUACUGGGGUAUGAUGCAGAGUCCUUUGUAACCAAGCUUUGUUUUGGACAAUGAGUUAAUCGUAGGGGACUCAUCAUGAAGCUAGAGGUGCUGACUGAGGAAAAGAAUCUGGCAACAUGAAUAGGAAUGACAGGAAUAUGAGUAAUUUGUCUGGGCAAAUUGUCUGUGCCUCUGAGAGCUGCUUGGGCCCUAUUUUGUACAUGUCACUUCUAUUUGAUGAUGAAGUACUGUUGUGCACAUACAAAUUUAUAACCUGGUGAGCCAGACAGCACACAUGCCAAGCAAAAAGCUUGACAUUUUGGCAUUCCCGAAGUGGCAAAGCAGAAAUGAAUCCCACUAGGAACCAUGAGGUUGCAGGAUCAAUCCCUGGCCUUGCUCUCUGGUUUAAGGACCCAGAAUUGCCAUGAGCUGUGGUAUAGGUCACAGAUACGGCUCAGAUCCAUCGUUGCUGUGGCUGUGGUGUAGGCUGACGGCUACAGCUCCAAUUCGACCCCUAGCCUGGGAACCUCCAUAUGCCACAGCUGCCGUCCCAAGAAGCAAAAAAAAAAAAAAA